rnacentral:rRNA from 1 species
UUGAACGCUGGCGGCAUGCUUUACACAUGCAAGUCGAACGGCAGCACGGGGGCAACCCUGGUGGCGAGUGGCGAACGGGUGAGUAACACAUCGGAACGUGCCCAGUUGUGGGGGAUAACCUAUCGAAAGGUAGGCUAAUACCGCAUGAGCUCGGCAAGAGGAAAGCGGGGGACUCAGCGAUGGGCCUCGCGCGACUGGAGCGGCCGAUGUCCGAUUAGCAGUUGGUGGGGUAAAGGCUUACCAAGGCGACGAUCGGUAGCUGGUCUGAGAGGAUGAUCAGCCACACUGGGACUGAGACACGGCCCAGACUCCUACGGGAGGCAGCAGUGGGGAAUUUUGGACAAUGGGGCAACCCUGAUCCAGCCAUGCCGCGUGAGUGAAGAAGGCC